rnacentral:snRNA from 1 species
UAAGCGACCAGCUAUCUCU